rnacentral:rRNA from 1 species
UACAGAGGGCGCGAGCGUUGUCCGGAAUCACUGGGCGUAAAGGGCGCGUAGGUGGCCACCAUAAGGCCGCGGUGAAAGUUCGGGGCUCAACCCCGGAUCGGCCGCGGCGACUGUGGGGCUCGGGUACUGUAGAGGCAGAUGGAAUUCCGGGUGUAGCGGUGGAAUGCGUAGAGAUCCGGAAGAACACCAGUGGCGAAGGCGGUCUGCUGGGCAGUGGGAUCGGAAGGUCCCUUCAACCGACACUGAGGCGCGACAGCGUGGGGAGCAAACAGG